rnacentral:misc_RNA from 1 species
UGGCUCUCGCAUCGAUGAAGAACGCGGCGAAAUGCGAUAAGUAAUGUGAAUUGCAGAUUUCAGUGAAUCAUCGAAUCUUUGAACGCACCUUGCGCUCCUAGGUCUUCCGAGGAGCAUGCCUGUUUGAGUGUCCAUAACUUGCAUCAAACCACACUCGCCUUGCGGUGGUGUCGGUUUGGAGUUGGAGCGCUUGCUGUUGGCCCUUGAGCCCACAGCUCCUCCCAAAUGCAUUAGCUCGCCUCAACGGAGCGCCGACGGCUUGAUAAUUGUCUAUGCCUCUGGUGACUCUGUGCGGUCGCUUACAGUCGUCUCAGGACAAACUCUUAAGAUCGGACCUCAAAUCAGGUAGGACUACCCGCUGA